AGCGCAGCGCCCGAUUGGCCAACGCCGUCAGGCCGCUCUGCACGUGCGGCAGGAAGGCGGCGGCGGGCACGGACGAGCCCACCAGAUAGCCCGCCAGGGAACCCGAGUAGGACGGGCAGCGCAGCGUCCUCUGUUCCAAGUCCAGCACACCCAGAUGAUGUGGUUCUGUUGGCUUCAUCAAGCCGUGACCUCCACCUCUCACUGGAGCGGUUCGCAGCCGGGUGUGAAGCGGCUGGGAUGAGAAUCAGCACCUCCAAAUCUGAGACCGUGGUCCUCAGUCGGAAAAGGCUGGUGUGCCCUUUUCGGGUCGGGGAUGAGAUCCUGCCCCAAGUGGAGGAGUUCAAGUAUCUCGGGGUCUUGUUCACGAGUGAGGGAAGAGUGGAACGGGAGAUCGACAGGCGGAUCGGUGCAGCAUCUGAUUCGGACGCCUCCCCGGUGAGGUGUUCCGGGCACGUCCCACCGGGAGGAGACCCCCGGGACGACCCAGGACACGCCGGAGAGACUACGUCCUUCGGCUGGCCCGGGAACGCCUCGGGACCCCCCCCCCCCCCCCCCCCGGAAGAGCUGGAUGAAGUGGCUGGGGAGAGAGAAGUCUGGGCGUCCCUGCUAAAGCUACUGCCCCCGCGACCCGACCUCAGAUAAGCGUUUCCUGCAAAGUGAUGCUUUGGGAGAUAACCGGGAGGGAGUCCGCCCGACGUACUCAUCAAUGUAUGCAAUCAAUGACAUCAUCAAAUCAUCCAGGUUCCGUUUUUGUGUCGGUGUCUCUGCCCCGACCUGCUCGGA